rnacentral:rRNA from 1 species
GAGUUUGAUCCUGGCUCAGGAUGAACGCUGGCGGCGUGCCUAAUACAUGCAAGUCGAGCGAACAGACGAGGAGCUUGCUCCUCUGACGUUAGCGGCGGACGGGUGAGUAACACGUGGGUAACCUACCUAUAAGACUGGGAUAACUUCGGGAAACCGGAGCUAAUACCGGAUAAUAUAUUGAACCGCAUGGUUCAAUAGUGAAAGACGGUUUUGCUGUCACUUAUAGAUGGAUCCGCGCCGCAUUAGCUAGUUGGUAAGGUAACGGCUUACCAAGGCAACGAUGCGUAGCCGACCUGAGAGGGUGAUCGGCCACACUGGAACUGAGACACGGUCCAGACUCCUACGGGAGGCAGCAGUAGGGAAUCUUCCGCAAUGGGCGAAAGCCUGACGGAGCAACGCCGCGUGAGUGAUGAAGGUCUCCGGAUCGUAAAACUCUGUUAUUAGGGAAGAACAAAUGUGUAAGUAACUAUGCACGUCUUGACGGUACCUAAUCAGAAAGCCACGGCUAACUACGUGCCAGCCGCCG